GACGAACGCUGGCGGUGUGCCUAAUACAUGCAAGUUGAGCGCUGAAGGUUGGUACUUGUACCGACUGGAUGAGCAGCGAACGGGUGAGUAACGCGUGGGGAAUCUGCCUUUGAGCGGGGGACAACAUUUGGAAACGAAUGCUAAUACCGCAUAAAAACUUUAAACACAAGUUUUAAGUUUGAAAGAUGCAAUUGCAUCACUCAAAGAUGAUCCCGCGUUGUAUUAGCUAGUUGGUGAGGUAAAGGCUCACCAAGGCGAUGAUACAUAGCCGACCUGAGAGGGUGAUCGGCCACAUUGGGACUGGGACACGGCCCAAACUCCUACGGGGGGCAGCAGGAGGGAAUCUUCGGCAAUGGACGAAAGUCUGACCGAGCAACGCCGCGUGAGUGAAGAAGGGUUUCGGAUCGUAAAACUCUGUUGGUAGAGAAGAACGUUGGGGAGAGUGGAAAGCGCAUCAAGUGACGGUAACUACCCAGAAAGGGACGGCUAACUACGUG
rnacentral:rRNA from 1 species